rnacentral:tRNA from 1 species
CCUGAUAGCUCAGUUGGUAAAGAAUCUGCAUGCAGUGCAGGAGACCCUGGUUCAAUUCCUGGGUCAGGA